CCUACGGGAGGCAGCAGUGGGGAAUAUUGCACAAUGGGCGCAAGCCUGAUGCAGCGACGCCGCGUGCGGGAUGACGGCCUUCGGGUUGUAAACCGCUUUUGAUUGGGAGCAAGCGAGAGUGAGUGUACCUUUCGAAUAAGCACCGGCUAACUACGUGCCAGCAGCCGCGGUAAUACGUAGGGUGCAAGCGUUAUCCGGAUUUAUUGGGCGUAAAGAGCUCGUAGGCGGUUCGUCGCGUCUGGUGUGAAAGUCCAUCGCUUAACGGUGGAUCGGCGCCGGGUACGGGCGGACUGGAGUGCGGUAGGGGAGACUGGAAUUCCCGGUGUAACGGUGGAAUGUGUAGAUAUCGGGAAGAACACCGAUGGCGAAGGCAGGUCUCUGGGCCGUCACUGACGCUGAGGAGCGAAAGCGUGGGGAGCGAACAGGAUUAGAUACCCUGGUAGUCCACGCCGUAAACGGUGGAUGCUGGAUGUGGGGCCCGUUCCACGGGUUCCGUGUCGGAGCUAACGCGUUAAGCAUCCCGCCUGGGGAGUACGGCCGCAAGGCUAAAACUCAAAGAAAUUGACGGGGGCCCGCACAAGCGGCGGAGCAUGCGGAUUAAUUCGAUGCAACGCGAAGAACCUUACCUGGGCUUGACAUGUGCCGGACGGCCGCGGAGACGCGGCUUCCCUUCGGGGCCGGUUCACAGGUGGUGCAUGGUCGUCGUCAGCUCGUGUCGUGAGAUGUUGGGUCAAGUCCCGCAACGAGCGCAACCCUCGCCUCGUGUUGCCAGCGGGUCAUGCCGGGAACUCACGG
rnacentral:rRNA from 1 species